AUCCUUUUGUAGUUCAUGAGUGUGAUGAUUGGGUGUUCACGUGCAUGUGUGAGCCGUGCCACCCUCGAACCUUGUUACCAUGUGGGCACAUUACCGAUCUGACA
ensembl:snoRNA